rnacentral:rRNA from 1 species
AUGGCUAGAGCAUGGAAGGAUAACUAUUAUGGUAUAUCACAAUUAUCAAGGUACAUCUUUGUGGCUCAUUUUCGUUCUUUGGAUGCUGUUAUGUUUGUCAUUACUCGUCAGCCUUGGAGCAUGGGUUCAGACAAUUUCUUGCUUGAAUGGAUGGAUCCAGAGGAGCAAAAUAGGAAUAUUCAGGACUAUAAGUUUGACACUAUCUACGUGACUAUUCGGAUUUAUGACAUCUUGCAAAGUGUUGGCCAGAUCUCAGAAUUUCAUCCUAUAAAUCAGAGUAUGAUAUUUGCUAGGGAGAAUUACAUUUGGGGUACCAUUAAAGCUCAGGUUAGUAAAGCAGUCACAGAUAGAGUUUGGGUUUCUUUUGCCAAGGAUUCUGCUGGUUGGGCUUACUUAUUCUAUGAGAAAAUUGGCAAAAUCUGCACUUUUUGUGGAGUUAUGUUUCAUAGUGUUCAGCAUUGCAAGAUCAGAAAUAGUGUUCUCAUUUCAAGAAACAGGCUGCAAGUUUCUUUGGAAGAAAUCUCACCAAAUAGAUUUGGGCAGUGGAUGACU